rnacentral:lncRNA from 10 species
AUUAGGCAAAUUGAUAGCCCUACAAUGGCCUCUAAGUGUUCACGUGAAAAGAAGAAUCACAGACCUCUCAUUUGAAAUUCAUGUUGUUUUCAUGCCUGCUAACACAACAUCCAUUCUGCAGCGCAUGGAUCAAGGGUUAAUUUUGAUUUUCAAUGUUAUUAUUUAAAUAUAUUUCAUAAUGCUAUGGCUGCCAUAGAUAGUGAUUCCAUUAAUGGAUCUGAAAUUGAAGGAAAAGUAAAGAUGUUUCUGGAAGGCACCAGGAGUCCUGUCUGCACUGAGCACCAUGAAGUUCACCUGCAUUGAGUUCUUUCCCUUUGUACAACACUUACUCCCAGACCAAAAAAUAACUCCUUCUCUCCAAUCUGUGUUCCAGGCAAACCAAUAGACUCCAGUUGUCUCCCGAAAUGCUUAAAGUGCUUUUCCAAUAUCCACUAUGUUUGGGCAACAUAUUAAAAAUAUACAACAAA